rnacentral:rRNA from 1 species
UGGGGAAUAUUGGACAAUGGGCGCAAGCCUGAUCCAGCAAUGCCGCGUGAGUGAUGAAGGCCCUAGGGUUGUAAAGCUCUUUUACCCGGGAUGAUAAUGACAGUACCGGGAGAAUAAGCUCCGGCUAACUCCGUGCCAGCAGCCGCGGUAAUACGGAGGGAGCUAGCGUUGUUCGGAAUUACUGGGCGUAAAGCGCGCGUAGGCGGCUUUGUAAGUUAGAGGUGAAAGCCCGGAGCUCAACUCCGGAAUUGCCUUUAAGACUGCAUCGCUAGAAUCCGGGAGAGGUGAGUGGAAUUCCGAGUGUAGAGGUGAAAUUCGUAGAUAUUCGGAAGAACACCAGUGGCGAAGGCGGCUCACUGGACCGGUAUUGACGCUGAGGUGCGAAAGCGUGGGGAGCAAACAGGAUUAGAUACCCCCGUAGUCC